GACGAACGCUGGCGGCGUGCCUAAUACAUGCAAGUCGAACGGGCUUUUCUAUGGAAGCUUGCUUCCACCGAGAAGAUAGUGGCGAACGGGGGAGUAACACGUGGGUAACCUGCCCAUAAGAGGGGGAUAAAAUCCGGAAACGGGUGCUAAUACCGCAUAGGUUUCUUGGUCGCAUGAACGAGAAAGGAAAGACGGCCUUUGCGCUGUCGCUGAUGGAUGGACCCGCGGCGUAUUAGUUAGUUGGUGAGGUAACGGCUAACCAAGACGAUGAUACGUAGCCGACCUGAGAGGGUGAUCGGCCACAUUGGGACUGAGACACGGCCCAAACUCCUACGGGAGGCAGCAGUAGGGAAUCUUCCGCAAUGGACGAAAGUCUGACGGAGCAACGCCGCGUGAGUGAAGAAGGUUUUCGGAUCGUAAAACUCUGUUGUCAGAGAAGAACAAGUCGGAGAGUAACUGCUCCGGCCUUGACGGUAUCUGACCAGAAAGCCACGGCUAACUACGUGCCAGCCGCCGCAGUAAGAC
rnacentral:rRNA from 1 species